AUUGAACGCUGGCGGCAGGCCUAACACAUGCAAGUCGAACGGUAACAGAAAGCAGCUUGCUGCUUUGCUGACGAGUGGCGGACGGGUGAGUAAUGUCUGGAAACUGCCUGAUGGAGGGGGAUAACUACUGGAAACGGUAGCUAAUACCGCAUAACGUCGCAAGACCAAAGAGGGGGACCUUCGGGCCCCUUGCCAUCGGAUGUGCCCAGAUGGGAUUAGCUAGUAGGUGGGGUAACGGCUCACCUAGGCGACGAUCCCUAGCUGGUCUGAGAGGAUGACCAGCCACACUGGAACUGAGACACGGUCCAGACUCCUACGGGAGGCAGCAGUGGGGAAUAUUGCACAAUGGGCGCAAGCCUGAUGCAGCCAUGCCGCGUGUAUGAAGAAGGCCUUCGGGUUGUAAAGUACUUUCAGCGGGGAGGAAGGGAGUAAAGUUAAUACCUUUGCUCAUUGACGUUACCCGCAGAAGAAGCACCGGCUAACUCCGUG
rnacentral:rRNA from 1 species